CCUACGGGAGGCAGCAGUGAGGAAUAUUGGUCAAUGGGAGAGAUCCUGAACCAGCCAAGCCGCGUGAGGGAAGACGGCCCUCUGGGUUGUAACCCUCUUUUGUCGGAGAACACAACCCGGGACGUGUCCCGGACUGCGUGUAUCCGAAGAGAAAGCAUCGGCUAACCCCGUGCCAGCAGCCGCGGUAAUACGGAGGGGGCAAGCGUUAUCCGGAUUGAUUGGGCGUAAAGGGCACGCAGGCGGUCUGUUAAGUCUGAUGUGAAAGCCUUCGGCUUAACGGGAGUAGUGCAUUGGAAACUGGGAGACUUGAGUGCAGAAGAGGAGAGUGGAACUCCAUGUGUAGCGGUGAAAUGCGUAGAUAUAUGGAAGAACACCAGUGGCGAAAGCGGCUCUCUGGUCUGUGACUGACGCUGAGGUUCGAAAGCGUGGGUAGCAAACAGGAUUAGAUACCCCUGUAGUC
rnacentral:rRNA from 1 species